rnacentral:rRNA from 1 species
UACAGAGGUCCCAAGCGUUGUUCGGAUUCACUGGGCGUAAAGGGUGCGUAGGUGGCGAGGAAAGUCGGAUGUGAAAGCUCGGAGCUCAACUCCGAAAUGGCAUUGGAAACUACCUUGCUCGAGGGUUGGAGGGGGGACUGGAAUUCUCGGUGUAGCAGUGAAAUGCGUAGAUAUCGAGAGGAACACCAGUGGCGAAGGCGAGUCCCUGGACAACUCCUGACACUGAGGCACGAAAGCUAGGGGAGCAAACAGG